AGAGUUUGAUCCUGGCUCAGGACGAACGCUGGCGGCGUGCUUAACACAUGCGAGUCGAACGGAAAGGCCCUUCGGGGUACUCGAGUGGCGAACGGGUGAGUAACACGUGGGUGAUCUGCCCUGCACUUUGGGAUAAGCCUGGGAAACUGGGUCUAAUACCGAAUAGGACCGCGCGCUUCAUGGUGUGUGGUGAAAAGCUUUUGCGGUGUGGGAUGAGCCCGCGGCCUAUCAGCUUGUUGGUGGGGUAAUGGCCUACCAAGGCGACGACGGGUAGCCGGCCUGAGAGGGUGACCGGCCACACUGGGACUGAGAUACGGCCCAGACUCCUACGGGAGGCAGCAGUGGGGAAUAUUGCACAAUGGGCGCAAGCCUGAUGCAGCGACGCCGCGUGAGGGAUGACGGCCUUCGGGUUGUAAACCUCUUUCAGUAGGGACGAAGCGAAAGUGACGGUACCUACAGAAGAAGGACCGGCCAACUACGUGCCAGCAGCCGCGGUAAUACGUAGGGUCCGAGCGUUGUCCGGAAUUACUGGGCGUAAAGAGCUCGUAGGUGGUUUGUCGCGUUGUUCGUGAAAACUCACAGCUUAACUGUGGGCGUGCGGGCGAUACGGGCAGACUGGAGUACUGUAGGGGAGACUGGAAUUCCUGGUGUAGCGGUGGAAUGCGCAGAUAUCAGGAGGAACACCGGUGGCGAAGGCGGGUCUCUGGGCAGUAACUGACGCUGAGGAGCGAAAGCGUGGGGAGCGAACAGGAUUAGAUACCCUGGUAGUCCAA
rnacentral:rRNA from 1 species